rnacentral:rRNA from 1 species
AGAAUCAACGCUGGCGGCGUGCCUAACACAUGCAAGUCGCACGAGAAAGGGUAGCAAUACCUGAGUAAAGUGGCGCACAGGUGAGUAACACGUGAAUUAUCUACCUCCGAGUGGGGAAUAACUGAGAGAAAUCUUAGCUAAUACCGCAUAACACUUACGAGUCAAAGCAGCAAUGCGCUUGGAGAGGAGUUCGCGGCCGAUUAGUUAGUUGGCGGGGUAAUGGCCCACCAAGACGAUGAUCGGUA